GGAGGAUAGCCCGGGGAAACUCGGAUUAAUACUCCAUAGGAUUUUGAUCGGCAUCGAUUAGGGUUGAAAGAUUUAUUGGAUAAGGAUAGGCAUGCGUCAGAUUAGUUAGUUGGUAGUGUAAUGGACUACCAAGGCGAUGAUCUGUAGGGGGCCUGAGAGGGUGAACCCCCACACUGGUACUGAGACACGGACCAGACUCCUACGGGAGGCAGCAGUGAGGAAUAUUGGACAAUGGAGGGAACUCUGAUCCAGCCAUCCCGCGUGCAGGAAGACGGCCCUAUGGGUUGUAAACUGCUUUUGUAUGGGGAUAAAUCUACUUACGUGUAGGUAGUUGAAGGUACCAUACGAAUAAGCAUCGGCUAACUCCGUGCCAGCAGCCGCGGUAAUACGGAGGAUGCAAGCGUUAUCCGGAUUCAUUGGGUUUAAAGGGUCCGUAGGCGGGCUGAUAAGUCAGUGGUGAAAUUUUGUCGCUCAACGAUAAAACUGCCAUUGAUACUGUUAGUCUUGAGUGGUAUUGAAGUAGCUGGAAUGUGUAGUGUAGCGGUGAAAUGCAUAGAUAUUACACAGAACACCGAUUGCGAAGGCAGGUUACUAAGUAUUAACUGACGCUGAAGGACGAAAGCGUGGGGAGC
rnacentral:rRNA from 1 species